AUGGUUAGGAGUGUACCGAUUGGUGAGAAGCUCUUCAUAGGAGGAGACCUCAAUGGCCACGUGGGUACAUCUAACACAGGUUUUGAAGGGGUGCAUGGGGGCUUUGGCUAUGGCAUCAGGAAUCAAGAAGGAGAAGAUGUCUUAAGCUUUGCUCUAGCCUACAACAUGAUUGUAGCUAACACCCUCUUUAGAAAGAGAGAAUCACAUCUGGUGACUUUUAGUAGUGGCCAACACUCUAGCCAGAUUGAUUUCAUCCUCUCGAGAAGAGAAGAUAGGCGUGCGUGCCUAGACUGUAAGGUGAUGCCUGGAGAGAGUGUUGUACCCCAGCAUAAGCUGGUGGUUGCUGACUUCCGCUUUCGGAUUCGUGUCCAGCGGGAUAAGCGUGCCAAAGUCGCUAGAACGAAGUGGUGGAAGCUCAAGGGGGGAUAG
rnacentral:rRNA from 1 species